rnacentral:lncRNA from 1 species
AUGCUGUGGAUCUGUGAUACUGUGAUUCUAUGUUUCUGUGGCUGCAGACCCACGUGCUCCUCCCCAGCACCCUGUUGGGUUCUCUCAGAAAGCAAGGAGUUGGCUGACAGUGUCUUCAUUCACUGCCAAUCCGAGGGCUCUCAAACAGCAGAAUGCUUCCUGGAGAACAAAAGGAGAGACUGCUUUACACAGCACCAACCAAAUCCUCAUCCUCAAACAGGUGGAAGAGGAGUGCACAGUUUGUGCACUGCUCGUGGGCUGGGCAGCCCCAGCAAAGCCCAUUCUCCUGCCCUUGUGAAUGGAGCUCACUGGGUCGCACCUCCAGCAGCCAGAGUUCAUCACCAGCAAUGGCAGCAGCAAAUUGAAAGAAGGGGAUGAUGAGGAAAGAGAAAAGGGAGAAGGAAUUUGGAUACCAAACCAAGACUCCAGCCAUCCAGAAAUAGAAGUAUUUAUUGCUGAAUUCUCUGCCAAUUCAUUGGCAAGGGGGUAAGACCUUUCAGUGCCUUAGUUCUUGUGCCAUGCAGAGCUGUAUUAUUGGCCUUGCCUUGAAAGUCUCCAGGCAUGGGGCAUCCACCACAACAGCAGGCAGCCUGUUCCAGUGCCUCACCACGUUCACUGUAGCAGAUUUUUUCUCCUUAUAUCUAACCUAAAUCUACCCUCCCUGAGUUUCCCCAGGUAAGUGGUUGAAUCACCAUCCCUGGAUGUGUUCAAAAGCCAUUUGGAUGUGGUGCUCAGGGACAUGAUUUAGCAGAGGGUUGUUAGUUAGGGUAGUCUGGUUAGGUCAUGGUUGGACUCGAUCUUUAAGGUCUUUUCCAACCUGAGUAAUUCUAUGAUUCUAUGAUUCUAUGAGCACACAGAGGCUGGAGCAGCUGGUGUGCUGCAGAUGUUUGAGGAAAUGUGUUUCCCCAUCUCUAAAAAAACUGAAAAUAUAAGGGUAUAUCUUUGAGAUGGCUUUUCUGUCUUCUUUUUUUUUUCCCUGCAAAACUUAAAAAUAAGGCAAAAAAAAAACCAACCCUCAAAAAAAUCUUCCUUCUCUUCCCACUGGGUUAACGCCAAGCGAGAGGGAGGAAAAAAUGAAUAGGAUAUGCAAAGAGUCAGAAUGUUCAGGGACCGAAAUGGGAGAUAUUUUAACCCAAACAACAGCUUUCUGCUCAAGUUCUCACUUUGGUUAAAAAGCUGUUCCAUGCUUAAAUGUACACAGAGUAGGAGAGAGAAAGGGGUUUCAACUCAAACUGUUUUAACUGGUUUGCUGUUUUUUCCCACUGGUGUCUUCCACCCUUCGAGAAUUCUGCAGCAGAUAAGAUAAAUCAGUGACUGCAGUGAGAUGGGGAUGAAAUGGGUGCGUUUGUUGUGAUUUACCCUUCCUGUGAAACAUCCA